CGCAAAGCGGAAGAGCUCGCUGAUACGCGACGGCUCGGCGUGCUGGGCCCCGCUUGGUCUCCUGCGCGUGGUUCUGCGUCUCCAGCUGAUGCACCUUCGAUGAACCCGGUGAAGCGGUCGUUGAGGGCCUGCAGCUGCUCCUCGUUGGUGUGGCUAAUCUUGUACUCGUUGGUGAGCGCUGCCGCCUGGCUGAGGUGCAGCCCGUCAGACGCCGGUAGCCGGCGAUGGGCCAGGCCGAGGCAGAGGCCGAGCGACGUGGCCGAGGAGCAGUUGAUCGAGGAGGCCACGAUGAGGCGGACACCGACUGCAAGCGGAAGCUGCCAGCGCCGCUGACCCGGAGAGGCACGGACAGGCGAGAGCCAUCCCCAAGACUUUGAGAGUACAGUUGGCCUUUUGUGUUGGUGGAUUCUCCGUGGUAUGGAUUUAACCAACCACUAAUCAACACUGCAGACUCCAAAAAUCGGUGGAGAAGAAGGGGGACAACGACUGAAAAACUGCCUGCUGGGAUCAAGAUGAGCUAUAUUAAAGAUUGAUAUAGUCUUUAUGAAAAUGUGCCUCAUUAGUUGGCUGCAAGAAAGUUAUUCAGCCUACAAAAGGAAAAAGAUCUCAAGUUUUCUGAUUUGGAAGUUGAGGAAGACUUGUUAUAUUUCUACAGUAAAAGACCUAUUUGUGCUGAUUAAUAGGAGCCAGAAUAGAAAAGGGACUGAUGAUGCAGAAGACAGAGAAUCUUAUAUUUCAUAUGACUUUGUUUCACUGUCCACUGGACUGGACUUUCAUUGCAACUUGAAAGACUCUCUUUAACAUUUCUUCUAGAAAAGGUAACAUGGUAACAAACACUUUUGGCUUGAUUAUGUAGAAAAGUCUAAUUUUUUAUUUCUUUUUUUUUAUAGGAGAGUUUUGUCAGAUACAAUACUCUGUUUUGACAGGUUUAUAUUUUUUCUAACAGCUUUUUGAAUAUUCCACUCCCUUCUGGCCUAUAAUGCUUUUUUGCUGAUAGGUUUCUGAUAAUCUCAUGGAAGUUCCCUUUUAUUUGAUGAAUCAUAACUUAGAAAGUAACUUUCCAAAAUGCUGUAGUGGGAUAUAAUCAUCCAGUAUCAUAAACUGAAAAGGGAACACAUGAAUCUAAGUGCUUUUUAAUAAAAAAUCACUGAAGUCUCCUUACUUAACA
rnacentral:lncRNA from 13 species